rnacentral:rRNA from 1 species
UGGGGAAUCUUGCGCAAUGGCCGCAAGGCUGACGCAGCGACGCCGCGUGUGGGAUGACGGCCUUCGGGUUGUAAACCACUGUCGGGAGGAACGAAUACGCGCCUUGAGCGCGGGUGACGGUACCUCCAAAGGAAGCACCGGCUAACUCCGUGCCAGCAGCCGCGGUAAUACGGAGGGUGCGAGCGUUGUCCGGAAUCACUGGGCGUAAAGGGCGCGUAGGUGGCCCGUUAAGUGGCUGGUGAAAUCCCGGGGCUCAACUCCGGGGCUGCCGGUCAGACUGGCGAGCUAGAGCACGGUAGGGGCAGAUGGAAUUCCCGGUGUAGCGGUGGAAUGCGUAGAGAUCGGGAAGAAUACCAGUGGCGAAGGCGUUCUGCUGGGCCGUUGCUGACACUGAGGCGCGACAGCGUGGGGAGCAAACAGGAUUAGAUACCCGCGUAGUCC